AUGUGGCCAGCCCAAUGGUCACACACAACACGAGUACACGUCCUCCUCCUCACAUCACGGUUCACAGGAACGCAUCCGGCAGCCAAUUCACUCCCAUUCCUCUUAUCCUCUCCCACUAGGAACCCUAGCCGCCGCUCGUCGCCCACCGCUGUGGCCCGACGCCCCAUGCCCAUGAGAUGUGAGCCGGUGAUGGCCGCCGCAUCGAGGCGUGUGGCGUGCCCAUGCCGACGAAGAUCGGCGCCCCGAACCCCGACCCCAACCAGUGGAGACCGGUGCCCCAUGCCGCCAUCCUCGACCCUCCGUCAGUCGCUCCACUGCCGACGACACGGCCGUCCGCCGCCGGUGACGACCGCCGCAUCGAGGCGCGCGGCGCGCCCCUGA
rnacentral:rRNA from 1 species